rnacentral:rRNA from 1 species
UCGCCUGUUUAUCAAAAACAUCGCUCUCCGACCACCAAACAUGGAGAGUCCUGCCUGCCCAGUGACUUGAACAGUUAAACGGCCGCGGUAUCCUGACCGUGCGAAGGUAGCAUAAUUACUUGUCUCCUAAAUAGAGACUGGCAUGAAUGGCAAGACGGGGCCCUACUGUCUCCUUAUCUUUUAUCUGAAAUUCACAUCUUUGUGAAGAGGCAGAGAUAAAAUCGUUAGACGAGAAGACCCUAUCGAGCUUAAGUCAAAGCAAGAGCCCAAAAUUCCCUCACCACGUCUCUAAUUUUAUUAAUUUAAUUCACGGCUAUGAGGAACUGUUUCUUGCGGGGACUUCAGUUGGGGCAACUACGGAGAAGGAAAAUCCUCCGCUAAUAUUAAUAUUUCCAGGGAAACGACCCUGAAAUUAGUUCUUAGUGAUCCAUUCCGAUGAUCAAAGGAACAAGUUACCGUAGGGAUAACAGCGUAAUCUUUUUUGAGAGUUCAUAUUGACAAAAAGGUUUGCGACCUCGAUGUUGGAUCGGGACAUCCUAAUAGUGCAGAAGCUUUUAAGGGUUGGUCUGUUCGACCAUUAAAGUCCUACAUGAUCUGAGUUCAGACCGG